ensembl:lincRNA
CUCUCACUCAUCGGUCUGUGCCCUGGCUGAGCUGACUCCGCCUCAAGUUCACUCUGGGACCAGGAAUCACCUGGACAGACGGUGGCUACCUCACGACACAUCACAGAUGCUCCAGAAGCCAGGCCAAACUCUGCAGGCACAUUUACAGCCUCACUCACAGCACAUCUGCUAAUAUCCUGAAUAUCUUUCCAUCAUUGGACUCUGCGACCGCUCAGAAUCCCUGACUGCCUCAGAUAUGCUCCAUUUUUACUCAGAAGAGGAGAGGUAACCUGCUCUGGGCCGGUUCUCAAGCUCCCGUGUAAUAGAUUAGACCGGGCUCCCGGGACUCUUGCUCCUGUCACCUCACACUGCCUGCUGUCCCUCCUGUUCAUGGAAACCUGCUCAGUUCAGUCCAUCAACAUGAAUCACUGGGAGAAACCAGGACACUCUGUUUCAUAUUUCUUCUAGCCCUUUCCUUAACCGCUUAC